AGAUAUCUUCGGGGCAGGGAGCGUUUCCCGACCGGCGGUAAAAGUCCGCAAGCUAUCAAGGGAUUGAUAGGAAUGAACUAGUGUAAUUCUAGUACCGACAGUAAAGUCUGAUAGGAGAAGAGUGAA
rnacentral:ncRNA from 2 species